CUCACAAUAACUUUUGUUUAUUUCAUAGCACUUACCAGAUACUUUGUAAUGAAAAAGUCUGUUGUUUUUAAAAUGAUUUUAUUGCCUUCUUGUAUGAAAAUGCAAAGAAUGACAAGCAUUUACUGAUCUUGUUCCUAGACACUGCAGGGCAAUACAAGACUUGGGUCAAAGGCAGUAGGAAACAGCUGCCCAGGAAUCUUGGGAUAUGGUUUAAAGGAGAACACCUGUGGUUGGGAUGGCCCAGGAGUAAUGUUUGUUUAGAUCUGUUAAGGUUUUUGGAGUUCCUGAGGACCAAUUUAGAUUUCCACUGGUGCUUGCUUGUAAUAAAUAGUUUUGUCACCUCGAAAUGUGUAUUUCAAAUUGCAUUUAUGUUUAACAGCUGUCAGUAAAUGUGUUUCAAGCAUGUAUCUGUUAGGUCCAGUUCUUACUAGAACAUUGUUUGUUGCUUAGAAAGUGUAUGGAAAGAACUUAAAAAAAUAAUUUGUUCACAUAUUCAUUCACCAAGCAUAUUUUUUAUGCUGAUAAGGCCAUAUACAUUUUCAUGAUUAAGCAUUUCAUCAGUGCCAAGAAAAGAAAAAUGACAUUAUUUUUUUCAUAUUUAUAGAAAAUGUGAAUUGAUGACACCAAUUCAAUGUGGUUUUGUUGCUGUUUUAUUUGUUUUUUAGAGAGAGAGCACAUGAGCAGGGGAGAGGGGUAGAGGGAGAGGGAGACAGAGAGAGAGAGAGAGAAUCUUUUUAAUUUUUUUUUAAAUGUUUACUUAUUUUUGAGAGACAGAGAGAGAGAGGGCAGGUAGGGCAGGGGCAGAGAGAGAGGGAGAUAUAGAAUCAGAAGCAGGAUCUAGGCUCUGAGUUGUCAGCACAGAGACCAGGGAUUGAACCCACAAACUGUGAGAUCAUGACGUGAGCUGAAGUUGGGCACUCAACUGACUGAGCCACCAAGGCGCCCCAGAGAGAGGGAAUCUUAAGCAGGCUCCAUGUUCAGCAUGGAGCUCGAUGUGGUGCUUGAUCCCACAACUCGGGGAUCAUGACCUGAGCCAAAAUCAAGAUUUGGAUACUGAAAAAACUGAGUCACUCAGGUGCUCCUUAGUGUGGUUUUUAUGAAGAUAAAUUUCUUGAUCUUUCCAACAAUUGUCAGGUGGCAAAAUCAGAAUUAGAAAUCCAGUCCUUCAGGGGCGCCUGGGUGGCGCAGUCGGUUAAGCGUCCGACUUCAGCCAGGUCACGAUCUCGCGGUCCGUGAGUUCGAGCCCCGCGUCGGGCUCUGGGCUGAUGGCUCAGAGCCUGGAGCCUGUUUCUGAUUCUGUGUCUCCCUCUCUCUCUGCCCCUCCCCUGCUCAUGCUCUGUCUCUCUCUGUCCCAAAAAUAAAUAAACGUUGAAAAAAAAAAAUUUAGAAAUC
rnacentral:lncRNA from 1 species